UUCUGCCCGGGAGAAAUUCUGCAGCCC
rnacentral:piRNA from 1 species